UCCAACUCUAAAUAUCCAAAUUAAAACCCGCCCAUUCAGUCUGCUUCACUGACACUACAAAAAAUCCAAAAAAAAAUCCAAAAGCUCAAAGCUCACGCAGAUGAGACCGUCACCGCUGGUAUUCAACUCUUUCCAAAAGCCCUCCAAUCGAUCUCUAAUUUUAACCUUUUUUUCUUCCUUCACUUUCCGUUUGGUUCACGAGAAAAACUCGAGGGAAAUAUAAAGAAUCUGAAGAAAAUGGAUCGGUACCAGAAGGUAGAGAAGCCAAAGGCUGAGACAGCUAUUAGUGAGAACGAAUUGAGGAUUACUGCUCAAUGGAGGAUGAGGAAUUACAUUUCCUAUGCUCUUUCUCUUCUCCAGGACAAAUGCACUGAUGAGGUUGUCCUGAAAGCUACGGGUAGAGCUAUCAACAAGACUGUGAUGAUUUCUGAAUUGCUCAAGAGAUGAGUUGUUGGUCUUCAUCAAAUCACAUCAAUUGGAUCUGUUGAUAUAACUGACACUUGGGAACCCUUAGAAGAAGGUCUACUUCCCCUAGAAACCAACCCGCCAUAUUUCAGUUAUCACGAUUACCCUGUCUAAGAAGGAGCUUAAUUUGUCUUCUAUCGGAUAUCAGCCCCCAAUCCCAGCUGAUCAAGUAAAGCCAUUAGCUGAAUAUGAUGACGAGCGAGGUAAUAGCAAUGGUGUAGCAGAAAAUAGCAAUGGGGGUUGGGAUGGUGGUCGACGAUAUGGUAGUAGAGGUCAAGAUCGAGGGCGCGGUUUCCGUGGGCUUGGAAGAGGUUAUGGUGGUGGAAACAUGAAAAAGGAUUCAGGUUAUUACAAUGGUUAUGGUGGAUCAGGGGGAUUGCCUGCUCAAACCCGUGGCUUGCCUCCUCUUUUUUCAUGAUCGUGCCUUCCCUUUUUAAUGGUGAGUUAAGACAUAGGACAGUGGUUCAUUCAAUCAUUGCUUCAUGGGAUUUCUUACAGGUCGUGGGCGUGGCAGGGGAAGGCCUCAUGGUCGUGGUCAAGGUGUUAGAACUGGCGGGCCAAUCCAAGCAGCUGCAUGACUGGCAGUGUCAAGCAUUUGAGAUAAAACGUAAGUUUCCAGCGUGAAAAGAUGGAUUGGAUGCCUGAUCUGCACUUAACUUUUCAUCAGAUGGAAAUUGUUUCUGUAAGCUGCAUUUUUGUAGUUAGGUAUAAUUAUUCACUUUAUCAUUAGUCAGUAGUUGUUACAGAAGUGUUACUUCGCCACAUUAGUGUUGUACAAUUCAUAACUCCUAAUUUUUUCCCCUAUAAAUAACAGAGCAGUGCAUUCAUUCGA